rnacentral:tmRNA from 1 species
GGGGGCGUUCUGGAUUCGACGCGGGUUACAAAACCUCCGGUGCAUGCCGAGAUGGUGACCAAUCUCGUUAAUCCAAAGUCGCAAACUUAUAGUUGCCAACGACGACAACUACGCACUAGCUGCUUAAAACCCAGUGUAGUGCCGUUUGACUGGAGCCGUGCUUAUGCGUCCAGAGUUCUAAACCCUUUGGGGAGAGGAAUGCUCAAAUGUCAUAUCUCAUGAGAUCGUAAUGAAGCUUGUUCGGGGCAGAUUUAUUAAAACUUUACCGAAAUCGUUUGUUAUGCGCCCUGACAGUCGGGUUGUAAUAGAUUAAAUUUAAAGACUGAACUAAGCAUGUAGAGCCGCAGGUAGCGGACAAGCGGACGCGGGUUCAAUUCCCGCCGCCUCCACCA